AGGCGGCUUUCUGGACAGUACCGACGCUGAGAUGCGAAAGCGUGGGGAGCAAACAGGAUUAGAUACCUGGUAGUCACGCUGUAAACGAUGUCGAUUUGGAGUUUGUUGCCUAGAGUGAUGGGCUCCGAAGCUAACGCGAUAAAUCGACCGCUGGGGAGUACGGCCGCAAGGUUAAAACUCAAAUGAAUUGACGGGGGCCCGCACAAGCGGUGGAGCAUGUGGUUUAAUUCGAUGCAACGCGAAGAACCUUACCUGGUCUUGACAUCCAUAGAAUUCUGCAGAGAUGUGGGAGUGCCUUCGGGAACUAUGAGACAGGUGCUGCAUGGCUGUCGUCAGCUCGUGUUGUGAAAUGUUGGGUUAAGUCCCGCAACGAGCGCAACCCUUAUUCUUUGUUGCCAGCGAUUUGGUCGGGAACUCAAAGGAGACUGCCGUUGAUAAAGCGGAGGAAGGUGGGGACGACGUCAAGUCAUCAUGGCCCUUACGACCAGGGCUACACACGUGCUACAAUGGCGUAUACAAAGGGAAGCGAAGGUGCGAGCUGGAGCGGAUCUCAUAAAGUACGUCUAAGUUCGGAUUGGAGUCUGCAACUCGACUCCAUGAAGUCGGAAUCGCUAGUAAUCGUAGAUCAGAAUGCUACGGUGAAUACGUUCCCGGGCCUUGUACACACCGCCCGUCACACCAUGGGAGUGGGUUGCACCAGAAGUAGAUAGCUUAACCGCGAGGGGGGCGUUUACCACGGUGUGAUUCAUGACUGGGGUGAAGUCGUAACAAGGUAACCA
rnacentral:rRNA from 1 species